CUAGCAUCAAUCUAUUGAUACGAAAAUUCGCUUGACACCGGGAUACUGGAGUUAACAGUAAAGUAGACCUUCUAAGGGUGUGACCUGCAAAAAGUCCUGACCAAAAGUUGCUCCGACGAGGAUCCUCUGAGACUCAAGUCAGAAUUCUUAUUCAACAUAAGGAGAAGCGUGAGAGGUAGAGUAAUGACGUACCUUUUAGGAGUCCUUUUUGAGUCUUCUUUAUAGAUGAAGAGCUGGAGCUUUAGUUGGCAGGUUGAUUAGCAUUAUCCCGUGAUUCACGC
rnacentral:lncRNA from 1 species